rnacentral:lncRNA from 1 species
AUUAUUUUUAACCGUUGCGCCGGAGUCUAUCUUUGGUCCAUAAGUGUAAGGUCGUCAAGUUGGUACCCAAAUAGGAUGUUAAUUAGUCUGCGUUUUGAAUGAAAUUUGUAUCUAAAGACUUUGAGAAACUGUUAUAUGGCUUAUGUUAUGUCUUCGUUUAAGUAUCGAUGGCAUUCAUUGCAGUACACUUUUCAGCAGUCUAGAGCGAAUCAAAUCAGCAAUCCAUUGAAGAAUAUCUCGUGAUGACAUGGCAAACUGUAUUCCUUACCACUGCUCUGAUAGUUUGAUACAUUUCUUUUUAUUUCUCAAUACUUCACCUUGCAUAAGAUAGAUACGACGAUAAGAAGACAUCUAACAAACUUAAGGAAUUUAAGUUAACUUUUUUUGGCUGGCUUAGAUAAAAAAGCAACAAAGUUUAUCUUUUACUCCUAAGCGCUUCACCGUCUUCCAUGCUUCCUCGCCGAAAUCGAAUGUUUAUUCAAAAAACCACAACUUUACUAUUAACUGGAGGCGCUGCCUUAUUAUAUGACUUUGACCGUGGACUUACCGAAUUUGUUUAAAACUUGUGGAACUUUCUGUG